rnacentral:rRNA from 1 species
UACGUAGGAUGCGAGCGUUGUCCGGAAUCACUGGGCGUAAAGGGCGCGCAGGCGGGCGGGCGCGUCCGUGGUGAAAGCCCCCGGCUCACCCGGGGGAGUGCUGCGGAUACGGCCCGUCUUGGAGGACGGUAGGGGCAUGCGGAACACCCGGAGUAGCGGUGAAAUGCGUUGAGAUCGGGAGGAACACCUGUGGCGAAGGCGGCCCCCUGGGCCGGCCCUGACACUGAGACGCGAAGGCGUGGGGAGCGAACGGG